UACCAUGCAAGUCGAACGGCAGCGCGGGGCAACCUGGCGGCGAGUGGCGAACGGGUGAGUAAUACAUCGGAACGUGCCCUGUGAUGGGGGAUAACUACGCGAAAGCGUAGCUAAUACCGCAUACGACCCAAGGGUGAAAGUGGGGGAUCGCAAGACCUCACGUCAUAGGAGCGGCCGAUGGCGGAUUAGCUAGUUGGUGAGGUAAAGGCUUACCAAGGCGACGAUCCGUAGCUGGUCUGAGAGGACGACCAGCCACACUGGGACUGAGACACGGCCCAGACUCCUACGGGAGGCAGCAGUGGGGAAUCUUGGACAAUGGGGGCAACCCUGAUCCAGCAAUGCCGCGUGUGGGAUGAAGGCCUUCGGGUUGUAAACCACUUUUGGCGGGGGCGAAAUAUUGAGUGCUAAUACCAUUCGGUGAUGACGGUACCCGCAGAAUAAGCACCGGCUAACUACGUGCCAGCAGCCC
rnacentral:rRNA from 1 species